rnacentral:tRNA from 1 species
GGAGAGAUGCCGGAGUGGUUGAACGGGGCGGUCUCGAAAACCGUUGUGGGUGCAAGCCUACCCAGGGUUCGAAUCCCUGUCUCUCCGCAA